UCAAGCGAAUAAGUGCAUGUGGUGGAUGCCUUGGCGAUCACAGGCGAUGAAGGACGUAGUAGCUUGCGAAAAGCUGCGGGGAGCUGGCAAACGAGCUUUGAUCCGCAGAUGUCCGAAUGGGGAAACCCGGCCCGUAUGGGUCAUCCCUUGCUGAAUACAUAGGCAAGGGAGGCGAACGCAGUGAACUGAAACAUCUAAGUAGCUGCAGGAAAAGAAAUCAACCGAGAUUCCCAAAGUAGUGGCGAGCGAAAUGGGAACAGCCUUGUACUCUUUAGCAGUAUUGUUAGCGGAACGGAAUGGAAAGUCCGGCCAUAGUGGGUGAUAGCCCCGUACGCGAAAACAGUAUUGUGGAACUAGGUGUACGACAAGUAGGGCGGGACACGUGAAAUCCUGUCUGAAGAUGGGGGGACCAUCCUCCAAGGCUAAAUACUCGUGAUCGACCGAUAGUGAACCAGUACCGUGAGGGAAAGGCGAAAAGAACCCCGGGAGGGGAGUGAAAUAGAUCCUGAAACCGCAUGCAUACAAACAGUCGGAGCCUGGAAACGGGUGACGGCGUACCUUUUGUAUAAUGGGUCAGCGACUUACAUUCAGUGGCAAGCUUAACCGAUUAGGGAAGGCGUAGCGAAAGCGAGUCCGAAUAGGGCGUUCAGUCGCUGGGUGUAGACCCGAAACCAAGUGAUCUAUCCAUGGCCAGGUUGAAGGUGCGGUAACACGUACUGGAGGACCGAACCCACUAACGUUGAAAAGUUAGGGGAUGAGCUGUGGAUAGGGGUGAAAGGCUAAACAAACUUGGAAAUAGCUGGUUCUCUCCGAAAACUAUUUAGGUAGUGCCUCGUGUCUCACCUUCGGGGGUAGAGCACUGUCAUGGUUGGGGGGUCUAUUGCUGAUUACCCCGCCAUAGCAAACUCCGAAUACCGAAGAGUGCAAUCACGGGAGACAGACAUCGGGUGCUAACGUCCGGUGUCAAGAGGGAAACAACCCAGACCGCCAGCUAAGGUCCCUAAGAUUGGCUAAGUGGGAAACGAAGUGGGAAGGCUAAAACAGUCAGGAGGUUGGCUUAGAAGCAGCCACCCUUUAAAGAAAGCGUAAUAGCUCACUGAUCGAGUCGUCCUGCGCGGAAGAUGUAACGGGGCUAAGCCAGUCACCGAAGCUGCGGAUGCACGUAAGUGCAUGGUAGGAGAGCGUUCUGUAAGCCUGUGAAGGUGUCUUGUAAAGGAUGCUGGAGGUAUCAGAAGUGCGAAUGCUGACAUGAGUAGCGAUAAAGGGGGUGAAAGGCCCCCUCGCCGUAAGCCCAAGGUUUCCUACGCAACGUUCAUCGGCGUAGGGUGAGUCGGCCCCUAAGGCGAGGCAGAGAUGCGUAGCUGAUGGGAAGCAGGUUAAUAUUCCUGCACCGUCGUAUGAUGCGAUGGGGGGACGGAUCGCGGAAGGUUGUCCGGGUGUUGGAAGUCCCGGUCCCUACAUUGGAGAUGGCACUUAGGCAAAUCCGGGUGCGUGAUUCAAGGGUGUGGGGCGAGCGACGUUAGGUCGCGAAGCAAUUGGAAGUGGUUCCAAGAAAAGCCUCUAAGCUUCAGUCAUACGAGACCGUACCGCAAACCGACACAGGUGGGCGAGAUGAGUAUUCUAAGGCGCUUGAGAGAACUCGGGAGAAGGAACUCGGCAAAUUGGUACCGUAACUUCGGGAUAAGGUACGCCCUUGUAGUUUGACUGGCUCGCGCCAGAAGGAUGAAGGGGUUGCAAUAAAAUGGUGGCUGCGACUGUUUAAUAAAAACACAGCACUCUGCAAACACGAAAGUGGACGUAUAGGGUGUGACGCCUGCCCGGUGCCGGAAGAUUAAAUGAUGGGGUGCAAGCUCUUGAUUGAAGUCCCGGUAAACGGCGGCCGUAACUAUAACGGUCCUAAGGUAGCGAAAUUCCUUGUCGGGUAAGUUCCGACCUGCACGAAUGGCGUAACGAUGGCCACACUGUCUCCUCCCGAGACUCAGCGAAGUUGAAGUGUUUGUGAUGAUGCAAUCUCCCCGCGGCUAGACGGAAAGACCCCAUGAACCUUUACUGUAGCUUUGCAUUGGACUUUGAACCGAUCUGUGUAGGAUAUGUGGGAGGCUUUGAAACCGGGACGCUAGUUUCGGUGGAGCCGACCUUGAAAUACCACCCUGGUUUGUUUCUGUCUCUUAUACACAUCUCCGAGCCCACGA
rnacentral:rRNA from 1 species